rnacentral:rRNA from 1 species
UACGGAGGGUGCAAGCGUUAUCCGGAAUCAUUGGGUUUAAAGGGUCCGCAGGCGGAAAGAUAAGUCAGUGGUGAAAUCUCACAGCUCAACUGUGAAACUGCCAUUGAUACUGUCUUUCUUGAAUUCGAUCGAAGUGGGCGGAAUGUGACAUGUAGCGGUGAAAUGCUUAGAUAUGUCACAGAACACCGAUAGCGAAGGCAGCUCACUAGGUCUGGAUUGACGCUCAGGGACGAAAGCGUGGGGAGCAAACAGGAUUAGAUACCCUGGUAGUCCACGCCGUAAACUAUCAAUACUCGUUCUUGGGGCCGUAAGGCUUCGGGGACUAAGCGAAAGUGAUAAGUAUUGCACCUGGGGAGUACGAUCGCAAGGUUGAA